UACGUAGGGGGCUAGCGUUGUCCGGAUUUAUUGGGCGUAAAGAGCGUGUAGGCGGCCUGGUAGGUCUGCUGUGAAAACUCGAGGCUCAACCUCGAGACGUCGGUGGAAACCGUUUGGCUAGAGUCCGGAAGAGGAGAGUGGAAUUCCCGGUGUAGCGGUGAAAUGCGCAGAUAUCGGGAAGAACACCCGUGGCGAAGGCGGCUCUCUGGGACGGUACUGACGCUGAGACGCGAAAGCGUGGGGAGCGAACAGG
rnacentral:rRNA from 1 species